rnacentral:ncRNA from 2 species
GCCCGAUUACAUAGCCCAACUCGUAUAUUCUCGGAAAUAAGGUCCGAGCGUCUCUACCCGGUUCCCAAUGAAAGAACUGGACUACGAGUUAAAGUGCACCCAUA